UACGAAGGGGGCAAGCGUUGUUCGGAAUUACUGGGCGUAAAGGGCGCGCAGGCGGCUGAUCAAGUCAGAUGUGAAAGCCCCGGGCUCAACCUGGGAAUAGCAUUUGGGACUGGUCGGCUAGAGUUCGGGAGAGGAGAGUGGAAUUCCCAGUGUAGAGGUGAAAUUCGUAGAUAUUGGGAAGAACGCCGGUGGCGAAGGCGGCUCUCUGGACCGAUACUGACGCUGAGGCGCGAAAGCGUGGGGAGCAAACAGG
rnacentral:rRNA from 1 species